AAUCCCCCAACUCUCUCUCUCUCAACCCGUGAUUCCAUCCCCUAAAAUAUCUCACAGUAACCGAGGGCCUCCUCUUCUUCAUCUUCAUCCUCCAGAAACUCUCAAAUCAGCUCAUGAAAAAAUUCAAAAGAAAAUUGACAAGCUCAGGAUCUCUCUCUCUCUCUCUCUCUCUCUCUCUCUCUCUCUCUCUCUCUCUCUUAACCCGUGAUCCCCUCCCCCAACAGAUCACACAGUCACCGAGGGUUCGUCUUCUUCAUCUUCAUCCUCCAGGAACUCUCAUUUUUGGAAGCUAAAAAAAUUCGAAAGAAAAUUGACAAGCUCAGCGAAAUCCCACGCCAUCUUCUUGAUACAUGCUGCAUGCUUGGAUAAAUUGCGUGUUGUACGUCCAAGGUUGAAACGCAUCCAGGGCAGCUUAACAGCAUAAAGUUUGACCCGAACCUUAGAGCUAUUCACAUUUCAGACGUCCUUCACUUGCAAAAGCCAUGAAGCAGUCAUGUGAGGAUAAAAAUAACGCACGGUCCUCUUGAUGUACAUACAUUAUUGAUCUUCCUUCUUCUUUUGAGUUUUACCAUGCUUCUUAAAAUACCGUAGAAGCAGCUCUGCGCUCGUAGUAACAGAGCAAGAUGCUAUUGUUGUAUCUGGUGUAUGUGUUGUAUUGUGUAUAUGUUGUAUGCAUCUUGUUGAACAACAUUUAGGUAUCCUAUUCAGUAAUUUGGUGCUAUGGGAAUUGUACACCGGCUAAACUCAAUUCUUGUCUGAAGACAUCAACAUUUUUUAUUUGCUUGAGAAUUCUGAAUUAUUUUCCCUCUACCCAGAUUGAUAAACUGGUUUUCCAUUU